rnacentral:lncRNA from 1 species
CACCUUCGCCCUCGCCCCCUUCACCGUCACCUCCCUCGCCGCAGCCCCCUACGCCUCCUUCACCUGGUUCGGAGGAAGCAGCACCGUCUCCCUCACCUCCCUCUCCCGCUCCGCCCUCACCGUCUCCUCCCUCGCCGCAGCCCCCUACGCCGCCUUCACCUGGUUCGGAGGAAGCAGCACCGUCUCCCUCACCUCCCUCUCCCGCUCCGCCCUCACCGUCUCCUCCCUCGCCGCAGCCCCCUACGCCUCCUUCACCUGGUUCGGAGGAAGCAGCACCGUCUCCCUCACCUCCCUCUCCCGCUCCGCCCUCACCGUCUCCUCCCUCGCCGCAGCCCCCUACGCCUCCUUCACCUGGUUCGGAGGAAGCAGCACCGUCUCCCUCACCUCCCUCUCCCGCUCCGCCCUCACCGUCUCCUCCCUCGCCGCAGCCCCCUACGCCUCCUUCACCUGGUUCGGAGGAAGCCGCACCGUCUCCCUCACCUCCCUCUCCCGCUCCGCCCUCACCGUCUCCUCCCUCGCCGCAGCCCCCUACACCUCCUUCACCUGGUUCGGAGGAAGCCGCACCGUCUCCCUCACCUCCCUCUCCCGCUCCGCCCUCACCGUCUCCUCCCUCGCCGCAGCCCCCUACACCUCCUUCACCUGGUUCGGAGGAAGCCGCACCGUCUCCCUCACCUCCCUCUCCCGCUCCGCCCUCACCGUCUCCUCCCUCGCCGCAGCCCCCUACACCUCCUUCACCUGGUUCGGAGGAAGCCGCACCGUCUCCCUCACCUCCCUCUCCCGCUCCGCCCUCACCGUCUCCUCCCUCGCCGCAGCCCCCUACACCUCCUUCAC